AACAACUGUAAAUAGUACUAGUGGUGGUGGGGGGGUUACAGUGGUGGGAUCCGGUGCUCCCUCAGAUUACCAAAUCGCUCCCAGGUCCGACAACAACCCAAAUUCAACACCUGGAUCCGCGCCACCAGCUCCGCCGCAAGCUCCGCCUCAAGCACCACCGCAAGCACCACCGCCCCACCCGCCGCCCGCGGCGGGGCCUGUGCCAGCGAAGAAGAAGAGAGGGAGGCCUAGAAAGUAUGGUCCGGACGGGAGUGUCACCGUGACCUUGUCUCCGAAGCCGAUUUCGUCGGCGGCUCCGGCGCUUUUGCCACCGGUGAUUGAUUUCUCAGCUGGAAAACAAAAGAAAAUAAAGCCAGUGAGCAAAGCCAAGUAUGAACUGGAGAAUUUAGGUAACGAAUGGAUAAAUUUGUCGAUUUUAUGGAUUCCUUUUGAGCUGAAGUGUUUUGUGCUUGUUUUGUGGUUGAAGUUUGAAUCUUGGUGAGAAAUUUGAUGUUUGAGCUUAAGUGGUUUUUGUGCUUGUUUUAGGUUUAAAGUUUGGAUCUUUGAUGUUUAUAUCAGUCGUCUGUUUUAAUUUAAGAGAAAUUUGGGUGGUUUUUAGUAAGGGUUCUGUGAAAGUGGGACCUGUGAAAUGAUGCUUCAGUUGAGAUCUUGAUAUGUGUGUUUGUGGGUGUAGUGGGUUUGGAAAGAGAGUAGUGAGGGUAUGUAAGUCGGUGUAGUAACGAGGGAAUCUUGCUGUUACGAGGGUGUAUUUUGGCGCUUGUGUUCCCUUUUUUGGGGAAAGAAUUUGUGGAAGGUACUGUUGUUGGUUACCUGGUAAAGGUCUGCUGCUGUGUUUUGUAUGGUUAACGGAAUUGGAAUAGAGAGAGAUGUCAUCGCUUUGCUUCCAAAAAGAAAGGAGGGAGUUUUUUUGUUGCCGUGUUUUGAU
rnacentral:lncRNA from 1 species